rnacentral:lncRNA from 1 species
CGGACAGAACAUAUAUGGUAGUUCAAGCUCACACAAUCGUGCUUAUCUUUGGAGCGUGCUACAAACAACGCGAAUCACGGUGAGAGGAAUAUAAAGGGCAGUAAACAAAUUAUGGAUCCUACUAAGAUCGGCUCACUGGUCGGCCUUUUGUCCCGUCGAAAACCACUUGUAGUCUCGGAUGGCGAGCCGGGACUAAGGGAUCGGGACUAAAAGUCUCACCUUUAGUCCCGGCUCGCCGUUUCCGGUUGGUAAUACUAACCGAGACUACAGGGGCGCCGGGCAGUGACGUGGCGCCACCCCUGGCCACCCCUUUUAGUCCCGGUUGGUAUGAACAACCGGGACUAAAGGGUUUUUUCCUUUUUCUUUUUCUUUUUCCUUUUCAUUUCUUUAUUGAUUUUGGUUUUUCAAUUGUAUAUGUUCUCCAAUUUAUUCAUAUACGCCGCUAUUAUCCGUAUACGUUGCACCUAUACGAGAGCGUCAUUAUUGCACACAAAUAAAGUAUGGAACUACAUAUAUAUAUUAUCAGUAUAAUAUAUAUAUCUAUACAUAUUAUAUAGCUAUACACAUACGUACAUACACAUUACAUUUACAAUAAUAAUAUUAUGUACAAGUAAUAAUCAAGUGUGCUGCCACCGGUUAAUGAUUACACAAUGUUUGUCCGCCCACUCAAAGCUCAUACAAGUGUUCGUCCUUGUUUGGAAUGGGCUUGAAGCCCUGUGGGUAUAAGUGGAACUCGCCGUCUUCCGGAAUGACAUGAUCGUUGAUAAAUCCGGCGAUCGUCUCCUGGACUCCAAGGAGUGAUGUGUAAUCGAACACUUUAUCUUUCAUAUUCCACUCCUUCCAUUUACAUUAGUUAAAAAAUAUAUUAAUAUACAUAAAAUCUAUUUAGUUCCAACAAAUAAAUAAGAUAUGAAUUUACUGUAUACACAUGUAUGUUACUUACUUUUAGAACACUUUGAGCAGUUUUAAAUAGGGUGCACCGCAAAAAUUCACAAACAUAGUAUCCACAUAGAUUCGUUCCAAACGGCUGUGCGGGCACCCAAGGGAGUAGAAGGAGGAGGAAGUGGCACAUUCAGAUCUGUACGAUAUCUUUGUUGUAGCUAAACCCAAGCCCUGCCUAAUAAGACGGUCGUUGAUUAGGUAUAGCUAGCAUAAUAAAGUAAAGGAGCACGCAUCGAUAUAUAAAGCAUGAUAUAUAGUUACCUCUGGAUCAUGUCUAUUAUGUUUUGAUAGAGUGCCAGGUAUUUUUUCAUUGAGUCCCACACAUUUAUUUUUUGUUCCGUGAUCUUAAUCUCAAUGAGUAUCCAAUGAUCUCUGCAUUUGUUUAGAGUCAACUUAUAUAUGUAUAUCUUAAUGCCGGAUUAACUAAGACAUGAUAUAACACAACACUUACCCCAUAUUGUAAGGGAAGAGUAUCUUCUCCGUAUGCCUUUGGUUAUAAAAGAACCUCCGGAGGUUCUUCUCCAUUUCCUUAGGCUUCAGAUUCAAUGGAUCUUUAGUCUUAGUGUCCUUGUAUACGACAUAUGGAUCGAUGAAACCAAUUCGAUUGUCUUUUUUCAAUCUUUGUUCUCUCAUCAUGUGUCUACACAUCGUGAGCGUAGUUAUUACGAAUACAUACAUAUGCUAUAAUGGGAUUAAUGAUUGAAAGGAAGAACACUUACAGACAGUAGC